AUUCCGGUUGAUCCUGCCGGAGGACAUUGCUAUUGGGAUUCGAUUUAGCCAUGCUAGUCGAGCGAGUUCAGACUCGCGGCGAAUAGCUCAGUAACACGUGGCCAAGCUCCCCUUCAGUCAGCGAUACCCUCGGGAAACUGAGGUUAACAGCUGAUACAAAACGCCAACUGGAAUGCGGCGUUUCAGAAAGACAUCGCUGAAGGAUGCGGCUGCGGCCGAUUAGGUAGACGGUGGGGUAACGGCCCACCGUGCCAGUAAUCGGUACGGGUGAUGAGAGUCAGAGCCCGGAGACGGAAUCUGAGACAAGAUUCCGGGCCCUACGGGGCGCAGCAGGCGCGAAACCUUUACACUGCACGGAAGUGCGAUAGGGGAAUCCCAAGUGCGAGGGCAUAUUAGCCCUCGCUUUUCUCGACUGUAAGGUGGUCGACGAAUAAGAGCUGGGCAAGACCGGUGCCAGCCGCCGCGGUAAUACCGGCAGCUCAAGUGAUGUCCCAUAUUAUUGGGCCUAAAGCGUCCGUAGCU
rnacentral:rRNA from 1 species